AGAGUUUGAUCAUGGCUCAGGACGAACGCUGGCGGCGUGCCUAAUACAUGCAAGUAGAACGCUGAAGAGAGGAGCUUGCUCUUCCUGGAUGAGUUGCGAACGGGUGAGUAACGCGUAGGUAACCUGCCUUGUAGCGGGGGAUAACUAUUGGAAACGAUAGCUAAUACCGCAUAACAAUGGAUGACACAUGUCAUUUAUUUGAAAGGGGCAAUUGCUCCACUACAAGAUGGACCUGCGUUGUAUUAGCUAGUAGGUGAGGUAAUGGCUCACCUAGGCGACGAUACAUAGCCGACCUGAGAGGGUGAUCGGCCACACUGGGACUGAGACACGGCCCAGACUCCUACGGGAGGCAGCAGUAGGGAAUCUUCGGCAAUGGGGGCAACCCUGACCGAGCAACGCCGCGUGAGUGAAGAAGGUUUUCGGAUCGUAAAGCUCUGUUGUAAGUCAAGAACGGGUGUGAGAGUGGAAAGUUCACACUGUGACGGUAGCUUACCAGAAAGGGACGGCUAACUACGUGCCAGCAGCCGCGGUAAUACGUAGGUCCCGAGCGUUGUCCGAAUUUAUUGGGCGUAAAGCGAGCGCAGGCGGUUUGAUAAGUCUGAAGUUAAAGGCUGUGGCUCAACCAUAGUUCGCUUUGGAAACUGUCAAACUUGAGUGCAGAAGGGGAGAGUGGAAUUCCAUGUGUAGCGGUGAAAUGCGUAGAUAUAUGGAGGAACACCGGUGGCGAAAGCGGCUCUCUGGUCUGUAACUGACGCUGAGGCUCGAAAGCGUGGGGAGCGAACAGGAUUAGAUACCCUGGUAGUCCACGCCGUAAACGAUGAGUGCUAGGUGUUGGAUCCUUUCCGGGAUUCAGUGCCGCAGCUAACGCAUUAAGCACUCCGCCUGGGGAGUACGACCGCAAGGUUGAAACUCAAAGGAAUUGACGGGGGCCCGCACAAGCGGUGGAGCAUGUGGUUUAAUUCGAAGCAACGCGAAGAACCUUACCAGGUCUUGACAUCCCGAUGCUAUUUCUAGAGAUAGAAAGUUACUUCGGUACAUCGGUGACAGGUGGUGCAUGGUUGUCGUCAGCUCGUGUCGUGAGAUGUUGGGUUAAGUCCCGCAACGAGCGCAACCCCUAUUGUUAGUUGCCAUCAUUCAGUUGGGCACUCUAGCGAGACUGCCGGUAAUAAACCGGAGGAAGGUGGGGAUGACGUCAAAUCAUCAUGCCCCUUAUGACCUGGGCUACACACGUGCUACAAUGGUUGGUACAACGAGUUGCGAGUCGGUGACGGCGAGCUAAUCUCUUAGAGCCAAUCUCAGUUCGGAUUGUAGGCUGCAACUCGCCUACAUGAAGUCGGAAUCGCUAGUAAUCGCGGAUCAGCACGCCGCGGUGAAUACGUUCCCGGGCCUUGUACACACCGCCCGUCACACCACGAGAGUUUGUAACACCCGAAGUCGGUGAGGUAACCUUUUGGAGCCAGCCGCCUAAGGUGGGACAGAUGAUUGGGGUGAAGUCGUAACAAGGUA
rnacentral:rRNA from 1 species